rnacentral:rRNA from 1 species
UACGGAGGGGGCUAGCGUUGUUCGGAAUUACUGGGCGUAAAGCGCGCGUAGGCGGCUUUGUAAGUUAGAGGUGAAAGCCCGGAGCUCAACUCCGGAACUGCCUUUAAGACUGCAUCGCUAGAAUUGUGGAGAGGUGAGUGGAAUUCCGAGUGUAGAGGUGAAAUUCGUAGAUAUUCGGAAGAACACCAGUGGCGAAGGCGGCUCACUGGCUCGAUACUGACGCUGAGGUGACGAAAGCGUGGGGAGCAAACAGG